rnacentral:rRNA from 1 species
UACGAAGGGGGCUAGCGUUGCUCGGAUUGACUGGGCGUAAAGGGCGCGUAGGCGGAUAGUACAGUCAGGCGUGAAAUUCCUGGGCUCAACCUGGGGGCUGCGUUUGAUACGUAUUGUCUGGAGUUCGGAAGAGGGUCGUGGAAUUCCCAGUGUAGAGGUGAAAUUCGUAGAUAUUGGGAAGAACACCGGUGGCGAAGGCGGCGACCUGGAUCGUUACUGACGCUCAUGUGCGAAAGCCAGGGGAGCGAACGGG